rnacentral:rRNA from 2 species
UACAGAGGGGGCAAGCGUUAUUCGGAAUUAUUGGGCGUAAAGGGCGCGUAGGCGGUGUCUUAAGUGAGAUGUGUAAUCCCCGAGCUUAACUUGGGAACUGCAUCUCAGACUGGGGCGCUAGAGUACUGGAGAGGGUGGUAGAAUUCCACGUGUAGCGGUGAAAUGCGUAGAGAUGUGGAGGAAUACCAGUGGCGAAGGCGGCCACCUGGACAGUAACUGACGCUGAGGCGCGAAAGUGUGGGGAGCAAACAGG